CAGCCGUGCACGAUUUUGAGAUUCACAUAUAAAUAGUGUCCACAGAAGCAGCGAUUACCAUACUCUAACGAACACAAGAAGUUGUCACAGUUCGUUCUAAUAAACUUCCCACGUUCGCCAUGAACUGCCUAAUCAUCUUAGCUGGCCUCGUGACUAUGGCCUAUGCUACCGGUCUGGGCGGCCCUGAGACUGUGGAUUUUGCUUCAGUUCCCAUCAGCAAGGACAUCAUCGCCAAAGCCAAAGAGCUCGGAAAGACAACCAAUGUCGUAGUCAAGCAGUACACCGUUAACUAUGCAACAAGGUACAAUUUGCACGAAGUGGAGCUCGAGGUGAAUGGCAAAACCUGUACUAUUAGAGUUAGCGAAGAGAAACCCUUGAAAUGGCUUAAA